rnacentral:rRNA from 1 species
UCGAGGAUCUUCGGCAAUGGGCGCAAGCCUGACCGAGCGACGCCGCGUGUGCGAUGAAGGCCUUCGGGUUGUAAAGCACUGUCGAGGGGGAGGAAAGUCCGCAAGGGCUUGACCUAGCCCUGGAGGAAGCACGGGCUAAGUUCGUGCCAGCAGCCGCGGUAAGACGAACCGUGCGAACGUUGUUCGGAUUCACUGGGCUUAAAGGGCGCGUAGGCGGCUCAGCAAGUCGGGGGUGAAAUCUUUCAGCUCAACGGGAAAAGUGCCUCCGAUACUGCUGGGCUGGAGGGAGAUAGGGGCAUGCGGAACUUCCGGUGGAGCGGUGAAAUGCGUAGAUAUCGGAAGGAACGCCGGUGGCGAAAGCGGCGUGCUGGAUCUCCACUGACGCUGAGGCGCGAAAGCCAGGGGAGCAAACGGGAUUAGAUACCCCCGUAGUCC